rnacentral:rRNA from 1 species
UACGAAGGGGGCUAGCGUUGCUCGGAAUCACUGGGCGUAAAGCGCACGUAGGCGGGUCCUUAAGUCAGGGGUGAAAUCCCGGAGCUCAACUCCGGAACUGCCUUUGAUACUGGGGAUCUUGAGUCCGGAAGAGGUGAGUGGAACUCCGAGUGUAGAGGUGAAAUUCGUAGAUAUUCGGCAAGAACACCAGUGGCGAAGGCGGCUCACUGGCCCGUAACUGACGCUGAGGCACGAAGCGUGGGGAGCAAACAGG